rnacentral:misc_RNA from 1 species
CCCCGUAAUUUUUGCAGUCAUGAAAAUGCCCACUAGGGUUACCACUAGUCCAAGAAGUGCGCAGAUCAGCUUAAAUGUUGCAAAUACAUCUUUGAACAAUCACAUCAUAUUCACUUUACUCCAUUGUUUUCCUUUGUUAGCACAAAAUCACACAAAAUUUCUUCUUUUACUUUGAAUAGAGAAGGAAAGUGAGAAAAGUAGAGAGAAG